GACGAACGCUGGCGGCGUGCUUAACACAUGCAAGUCGAACGGUAAGGCCCUUCGGGGUACACGAGUGGCGAACGGGUGAGUAACACGUGGGUGAUCUGCCCUGCACUUCGGGAUAAGCCUGGGAAACUGGGUCUAAUACCGGAUAGGACCACUGCCUGCAUGGGUGGUGGUGGAAAGCUUUUGCGGUGUGGGAUGGGCCCGCGGCCUAUCAGCUUGUUGGUGGGGUGAUGGCCUACCAGGGCGACGACGGGUAGCCGGCCUGAGAGGGUGACCGGCAACACUGGGACUGGGAUACGGCCCAGAGUCCUACGGGAGGAAGCAGUGGGGAAUAUUGCACAAUGGGGGCAAGCCUGAUGGAGAGACGCCGCGUGAGGGAUGACGGCCUUCGGGUUGUAAACGUCUUUCAGCACCGACGAAGCGCAAGUGACGGUAGGUGCAGAAGAAGGACCGGCCAAGUACGUGCCAGCCGCCGCUAUAA
rnacentral:rRNA from 1 species